rnacentral:rRNA from 1 species
CCAGACUCCUACGGGAGGCAGCAGUGGGGAAUAUUGCACAAUGGGGGAAACCCUGAUGCAGCGACGCCGCGUGAGUGAAGAAGUAUCUCGGUACGUAAAGCUCUAUCAGCAGGGAAGAAAAAAAGUCCUUCGGACUUUGGACGGUACCUGAUUAAGAAGCCCCGGCUAACUACGUGCCAGCAGCCGCGGUAAUACGUAGGGGGCGAGCGUUAUCCGGAUUCACUGGGUGUAAAGGGAGCGUAGACGGCCAUGCAAGCCAGGGGUGAAAGCCCGGGGCCCAACCCCGGGACUGCCCUUGGAACUGCAUGGCUGGAGUGCGGGAGGGGCAGGCGGAAUUCCUGGUGUAGCGGUGAAAUGCGUAGAUAUAAGGAGGAACACCAGUGGCGAAGGCGGUCUGCUGGACAGCAACUGACGGUGAGGCGCGAAAGCGUGGGGAGCAAACAGGAUUAGAUACCCGUGUAACA